rnacentral:rRNA from 1 species
GAUGAACGCUGGCGGCGUGCUUAACACAUGCAAGUCGAACGGUGAAGGCGGAGCUUGCUCUGCUGGAUCAGUGGCGAACGGGUGAGUAACACGUGAGCAAUCUGCCCCUGACUCUGGGAUAGGCUCUGGAAACGGCGUCUAAUACUGGAUACGAGCUGCGAAGGCAUCUUCAGCAGCUGGAAAGAAUUUCGGUCAGGGAUGAGCUCGCGGCCUAUCAGCUUGUUGGUGAGGUAAUGGCUCACCAAGGCGUCGACGGGUAGCCGGCCUGAGAGGGUGACCGGCCACACUGGGACUGAGACACGGCCCAGACUCCUACGGGAGGCAGCAGUGGGGAAUAUUGCACAAUGGGCGAAAGCCUGAUGCAGCAACGCCGCGUGAGGGACGACGGCCUUCGGGUUGUAAACCUCUUUUAGCAGGGAAGAAGCGAAAGUGACGGUACCUGCAGAAAAAGCGCCGGCUAACUACGUG